AGCAUCGGAUUCCAGACCCGAAGGUCAUCGGUUCAAGUCCGGUAGUG
rnacentral:tRNA from 1 species